rnacentral:rRNA from 1 species
GACGUAGGGCGCGAGCGUUGUCCGGAUUUAUUGGGCGUAAAGAGCUCGUAGGCGGCUUGUCGCGUCGUCCGUGAAAACCCACAGCUCAACUGUGGGCUUGCGGUCGAUACGGGCAGGCUAGAGUUCGGUAGGGGAGACUGGAAUUCCUGGUGUAGCGGUGAAAUGCGCAGAUAUCAGGAGGAACACCGGUGGCGAAGGCGGGUCUCUGGGCCGUAACUGACGCUGAGGAGCGAAAGCGUGGGAGCGAACAGG